AGGUUAAGUUAACAAGGGCGCAUGGUGAAUGCCUUGGCACUAGGAGCCGAUGAAGGACGGGACUAACACCGAUAUGCUUCGGGAGCUGUACGUAAGCUAUGAUCCGGAGAUUUCCGAAUGGGGCAACCCAGCAGUUUUAAUCAACUGUUACCACUAGAUGAAUUCAUAGUCUAGUUGGAGGUAAACGCUGUGAACUGAAACAUCUCAUUAGCAGCAGGAAUAUAAAGAAAUUUCGAUUCCCUAAGUAGCGGCGAGCGAACGGGGAACAGCCCAAACCAAAGUGCUUGCACUUUGGGGUUGUAGGACUGAACAUUUGAGUUACCAAAGAACUUGAUAGUCGAAGGAUUUGGGAAAAUCCGCCAUAGAUGGUGAUAGCCCAGUAGAUUAAAUCAAAUUCUCUCAGUUCAGGAUCCUGAGUACGGCGGAACACGUGAAAUUCCGUCGGAAUCCGGGAGGACCAUCUCCCAAGGCUAAAUACUACCUAGUGACCGAUAGUGAACCAGUACCGUGAGGGAAAGGUGAAAAGCACCCGGGAGGGAGUGAAAUAGUUCCUGAAACCAUGUGCCUACAAUAAGUCAGAGCGCGUUAAUGCGUGAUGGCGUGCCUUUUGUAGAAUGAACCGGCGAGUUAUGAUCCCGUGCAAGGUUAAGACUAAAAAGUCGGAGCCGUAGCGAAAGCGAGUCUGAAAUGGGCGUUUUGAGUACGAGGUUAUAGACCCGAAACCAGGUGACCUAUCCAUGUCCAGGUUGAAGGUGCGGUAAAACGCACUGGAGGACCGAACCCGUGUAAGUUGAAAAUUGCUGGGAUGAGGUGUGGAUAGCGGUGAAAUUCCAAACGAACUUGGAGAUAGCUGGUUCUCUCCGAAAUAGCUUUAGGGCUAGCCUCGGAAUUAGGAUCAUGGAGGUAGAGCACUAUUUGGACUAGGGGCCCGUCUUGGGUUACUGAAUUCAGAUAAACUCCGAAUGCCAUUGAUUCAUAUCCGGGAGUCAGACGAUGAGUGAUAAGAUCCACCGUCGAAAGGGGAACAGCCCAGACCAUCAGUUAAGGUCCCUAAAUGUAUGCUAAGUGGAAAAGGAUGUGGAGUUGCAUAGACAACUAGGAUGUUGGCUCAGAAGCAGCCACCAUUUAAAGAGUGCGUAAUAGCUCACUAGUCGAGUGAUCCUGCGCCGAAAAUGUACCGGGGCUAAGCAUACUACCGAAACCAUGGAUGCGACCAUUAGGUCGCGUGAUAGGAGAGCGUUCUAAGGGCGGUGAAGCAAGAUCGUGAGGACUUGUGGAGCGCUUAGAAGUGAGAAUGCCGGUAUGAGUAGCGAAAGAUAGGUGAGAAUCCUAUCCACCGAAUGACUAAGGUUUCCUGGGGAAGGCUCGUCCUCCCAGGGUUAGUCGGGACCUAAGUCGAGGCCGAGAGGCGUAGACGAUGGAUAACAGGUUGAGAUUCCUGUACUAGUUAAGUGCGUUUGAGCAAUGGAGGGACGCAGGAGGCUAAGAUGUGCAUUCUGUUGGAUUAGAAUGUCCAAGCAGUAAGUCUUGUGAAGAGUCAAAUGCUUUUCACUUUAAGGACAAGCUGUGAUGGGGAGCGAAAUUUAGUAGCGAAGCGUCUGAUGUCACACUGCCGAGAAAAGCUUCUAGUGAGUACUUAACUACCCGUACCGCAAACCGACACAGGUAGUCGAGGAGAGAAUCCUAAGGUGAGCGAGUGAACUCUCGUUAAGGAACUCGGCAAAAUGACCCCGUAACUUCGGGAGAAGGGGUGCUGAUCGCAAGAUCAGCCGCAGUGAAUAGGCCCAGGCGACUGUUUAUCAAAAACACAGGUCUCUGCAAAAUCGUAAGAUGACGUAUAGGGGCUGACGCCUGCCCGGUGCUGGAAGGUUAAAAGGAUGGGUUAGCUUCGGCGAAGCUCAGAAUUGAAGCCCAGUAAACGGCGGCCGUAACUAUAACGGUCCUAAGGUAGCGAAAUUCCUUGUCGGGUAAGUUCCGACCCGCACGAAAGGCGUAACGAUCUGGGCACUGUCUCAACGAGAGACUCGGUGAAAUUAUAUUGUCCGUGAAGAUGCGGACUACCCGCGACAGGACGGAAAGACCCCAUGGAGCUUUACUGUAGCUUGAUAUUGAGUGUUUGUACAGCUUGUACAGGAUAGGUAGGAGCCAUAGAAACCGGAACGCUAGUUUCGGUGGAGGCGUUGGUGGGAUACUACCCUCGCUGUAUGACCACUCUAACCCGCACCACUAAUCGUGGUGGGAGACAGUGUCAGGUGGGCAGUUUGACUGGGCGGUCGCCUCCUAAAAAGUAACGGAGGCGCCCAAAGGUUCCCUCAGAAUGGUUGGAAAUCAUUCGCAGAGUGUAAAGGCACAAGGGAGCUUGACUGCGAGACAGACAGGUCGAGCAGGGACGAAAGUCGGGCUUAGUGAUCCGGUGGUACCGUAUGGAAGGGCCAUCGCUCAACGGAUAAAAGCUACCCUGGGGAUAACAGGCUUAUCUCCCCCAAGAGUCCACAUCGACGGGGAGGUUUGGCACCUCGAUGUCGGCUCAUCGCAUCCUGGGCUGUAGUCGGUCCCAAGGGUUGGGCUGUUCGCCCAUUAAAGCGGUACGCGAGCUGGGUUCAGAACGUCGUGAGACAGUUCGGUCCCUAUCCGUCGCGGGCGUAGGAAAUUUGAGAGGACCUGUCCUUAGUACGAGAGGACCGGGAUGGACAUACCUCUGGUGUACCAGUUGUGCCGCCAGGCGCAUCGCUGGGUAGCUACGUAUGGAUGUGAUAAACGCUGAAAGCAUCUAAGUGUGAAACACACCUCGAGAUGAGAUUUCCCAUUCCUUUAUGGAAGUAAGACCCCUGAAAGAUGAUCAGGUAGAUAGGUUAGAAGUGGCAGUGCGGUGACGCAUGAAGCGGACUAAUACUAAUCGGUCGAGGACUUAACCAAG
rnacentral:rRNA from 2 species